rnacentral:rRNA from 12 species
AAACCAACAGGGAUUGCCUUAGUAACGGCGAGUGAAGCGGCAACAGCUCAAAUUUGAAAUCUGGCCCUCGGGUCCGAAUUGUAAUUUGUAGAGGAUGAUUUUGGUGCGGUAUCUUCCGAGUUCCUUGGAACAGGACGCCUUAGAGGGUGAGAGCCCCGUACGGUUGAAUGCCUAGCCUCUGUAAAUCUCCUUCGACGAGUCGAGUAGUUUGGGAAUGCUGCUCUAAAUGGGAGGUAAAUUUCUUCUAAAGCUAAAUAUUGGCCAGAGACCGAUAGCGCACAAGUAGAGUGAUCGAAAGAUGAAAAGCACUUUGAAAAGAGGGUUAAAUAGCACGUGAAAUUGUUGAAAGGGAAGGAUUUGUGACCAGACUUUUUCUGGGCGGAUCAUCCGGGGUUCUCUCCGGUGCACUUUGCCCAGUAAAGGCCAGCAUCGAUUUUCGGCGGCGGAUAAAAGCAGUGGGAAUGUGGCUCCCUACGGGGAGUGUUAUAGCCCAUUGUAUAAUACGCUGCUGGGGAUCGAGGUACGCGCUUCUGCAAGGAUGCUGGCGUAAUGGUUAUCAAUCACCCGUCUUGAAACACGGACCAAGGAGUCGAACAUUUAUGCGAGUGUUUGGGUGUUAAACCCUCACGCGUAAUGAAAGUGAACGGAGGUGAGAGCCCGUACGGGUGCAUCAUCGACCGAUCCUGAAGUUUUCGGAUGGAUUUGAGUAAGAGCAUAACUGUUCGGACCCGAAAGAUGGUGAACUAUGCGUGGAUAGGGUGAAGCCAGAGGAAACUCUGGUGGAGGCUCGCAGCGGUUCUGACGUGCAAAUCGAUCGUCAAAUCUGCGCAUGGGGGCGAAA